CGGUUCUGAAGGCGGUAGUGAUGAGGGUUUUUGAGUCCUUUGAGGGCUAAGUUUGUUUUAUUUUUAUUGUAUUUUUCAGAUUUAUUGUAUUUUGAUUUUGGUUAUGUACUUUUGGGGUGUUUUGUCCCCCAUGCACAUUUUAAAUUUUUUAAGUAAUAGUAUUGUUUAUGUUUUUAAUUUGUGUGUUUGGUUUAAAUUUCUUUUGUUUUAAUAAAUUUUUGGUUGUUGAGUGUCAAACCUUUUAG
rnacentral:lncRNA from 1 species